GACGUCAUGCGCAAUUGAGAGAAGGAAAUCGCAGCGCAAUCUAGGCUCGUCCUCUUUCAGGCGAUGCCAUUAGAGGAGAGAGGCAUUGCAGAGAAGAGCCGAUAACCGUGCCUGUAUGGUUUUGUGUUUUAUUAUUCAGGCACUACAAUUAAAUCACCCGUGACCAAAACCAGUUGUGUGUGGAAAAUCCUUUAUUCAAAUAAAAAUCAACACAACGCAGAGGAACAACCGUUACACUGGCCUCCAUUUAUUACAAGCACGGAUUUGGCACUCAUGUACUCUGACAUGUUUUGUCAGAGCGACCCACUGCUGGAUCUGUUGAAUGCUGUGAAGUGUUGUGUGUCGUGAUCUCAGGCCUUCAGCUCUUUCUCUUUCUCUUCGGCUUUGUGUGGAUGUUCAUUGAAGCUGUGCUGCUCUUCAUCUGUGUGAAGAACCUAUCACAGAUCAGCUCCAAAAAGAGGGAGGUGCUUAGCAGUGGAUUCCUGUGUGAUUGGAUAUCUGUUUGCUCUGGUUGUGGUGUGUGUGUGUCUGUCGGUCUGGUUCCUGAAGGAUAAUGCAGCGAACAGUGAGUUGUUGUUGUUGUUGUUGUUGUUGUUUUCAAGUUAAUUUGGUUAGAAGGAAAUAAAGCAGCUUGGGGGUUUUGUGACAUUUCUGCUGUCUGAUAAAAGCUUUGACACAUGCUGUGUUAAUGUCAUGCACAAAAUUUGAAUACUGUACCAGUCAGCACUUGAAAUAGUAUUUCUGACAAAUUCGUUCAGUUAUUUUCUUUUUAUCCAAAUGGCUGCUGGAAUAAAAUGGAUUAAAGGCUUUAUCUUGA